CAAGGAUUCCCCUAGUAACUGCGAGUGAAGCGGGAAAAGCUCAAAUUUAAAAUCUGGCGGUCUUUGGCUGUCCGAGUUGUAAUCUAGAGAAGUGUUAUCCGCGCUGGACCGUGUACAAGUCUCCUGGAAUGGAGCGUCAUAGAGGGUGAGAAUCCCGUCUUUGACACGGACUACCAGGGCUUUGUGAUGCGCUCUCAAAGAGUCGAGUUGUUUGGGAAUGCAGCUCAAAAUGGGUGGUAAAUUCCAUCUAAAGCUAAAUAUUGGCGAGAGACCGAUAGCGAACAAGUACCGUGAGGGAAAGAUGAAAAGAACUUUGGAAAGAGAGUUAAACAGUACGUGAAAUUGCUGAAAGGGAAACGCUUGAAGUCAGUCGCGUUAUCCAGAGAUCAGCCUUGCUUUUGCUUGGUGCACUUUCUGGUUGACGGGUCAGCAUCAAUUUUGACUAUUGGAAAAAGGUUAGGGGAAUGUGGCAUCUUCGGAUGUGUUAUAGCCCUUGAUUGUAUACAAUGGUUGGGAUUGAGGAACUCAGCACGCCGAAAGGCCGGGUUUAGACCACGUAACCGUGCUUAGGAUGCUGGCAUAAUGGCUUUAAUCGACCCGUCUUGAAACACGGACCAAGGAGUCUAACAUACCUGCGAGUGUUUGGGUGGAAAACCCGAGCGCGUAAUGAAAGUGAAAGUUGAGAUCCCUGUCGUGGGGAGCAUCGACGCCCAGACCAGACCUUUUGUGACGGUUCUGCGGUAGAGCAUGUAUGUUGGGACCCGAAAGAUGGUGAACUAUGCCUGAAUAGGGUGAAGCCAGAGGAAACUCUGGUGGAGGCUCGUAGCGAUUCUGACGUGCAAAUCGAUCGUCAAAUUUGGGUAUAGGGGCG
rnacentral:rRNA from 1 species